CGGAGGCAGCAGUGGGGAAUAUUGCGCAAUGGGCGAAAGCCUGACGCAGCCACGCCGCGUGAGCGAUGAAGGCCUUCGGGUCGUAAAGCUCUGUGGGGAGAGAAGAAUAAAGCCUGUGAAGAGCGGGCCUUGACGGUAUCUCCUUAGCAAGCACCGGCUAACUCCGUGCCAGCAGCCGCGGUAAUACGGAGGGUGCAAACGUUGCUCGGAAUCAUUGGGCGUAAAGCGCACGUAGGCGGCGAAGCAAGUCGGGUGUGAAAGCCCUGGGCUCAACCCAGGAAGUGCAUUCGAAACUAUUUCGCUUGAAUCUCGGAGGGGGUCAGAGAAUUCCCGGUGUAGAGGUGAAAUUCGUAGAUAUCGGGAGGAAUACCAGUGGCGAAGGCGCUGACCUGGACGAAGAUUGACGCUGAGGUGCGAAAGCGCGGGGAGCAAACAGGAUUAGAUACCCCGGUAGUCCU
rnacentral:rRNA from 1 species